rnacentral:rRNA from 1 species
GCUUACGGCCAUACCAGCCUGGGUACGCCCGAUCUCGUCUGAUCUCGGAAGCUAAGAAGGGUCGGGCCUGGUUAGUACUUGGAUGGGAGACCGCCUGGGAAUACCAGGUGCUGUAAGCA